rnacentral:rRNA from 1 species
GCGUGUGUGAAGAAGGCCUUAGGGUUGUAAAGCACUUUCACCCGGGAAGAUGAUGACGGUACCGGGAGAAGAAGCCCCGGCUAACUCCGUGCCAGCAGCCGCGGUAAUACGGAGGGGGCUAGCGUUGUUCGGAAUUACUGGGCGUAAAGGGCGCGUAGGCGGCGAUUCAAGUUGGGCGUGAAAGCCCGGGGCUCAACCCCGGAUGUGCGCACAAUACUGGAUUGCUUGAGGACGGGAGAGGGUAGUGGAAUUCCCAGUGUAGAGGUGAAAUUCGU